rnacentral:rRNA from 1 species
AUUGAACGCUGGCGGCAGGCCUAACACAUGCAAGUCGAACGAGUGGCGGACGGGUGAGUAAUGUCUGGGAACUUGCCCGAUGGAGGGGGAUAACUACUGGAAACGGUAGCUAAUACCGCAUACCAUCAGAUGUGCCAAGAUGGGAUUAGCUUGUUGGUGGGGUAACGUCUCACCUGGGCGACGAUCCCUAGAUGGUAUGAGAGGAUGACCAGCCACACUGUAACUGAGACACGGUCCAGACUCCUACGGGAGGCAUCAGUGGGGAAUAUUGCACAAUGGGCGCAAGCCUGAUGCAGCCAUGCCGCGUGUAUGAAGAAGGCCUUCGGGUUGUAAAGUACUUUCAGCGGGGAGGCGUUACCCGCAGAAGAAGCACCGGCUAACUCCGUGCCAGCAGCCGCGGUAAUUC